UACGUAGGGUGCAAGCGUUGUCCGGGAUUAUUGGGCGUAAAGAGCUCGUAGGCGGUCUGUCGCGUCUGCUGUGAAAAUCCAGGGCUCAACCCUGGUCCUGCAGUGGGUACGGGCAGACUAGAGUGCGGUAGGGGAGAUCGGAAUUCCUGGUGUAGCGGUGAAAUGCGCAGAUAUCAGGAGGAACACCGGUGGCGAAGGCGGAUCUCUGGGCCGUAACUGACGCUGAGGAGCGAAAGCAUGGGGAGCGAACAGG
rnacentral:rRNA from 1 species